rnacentral:rRNA from 1 species
UGUCCGGAAUUACUGGGCGUAAAGAGCCGUAGGUGGUUUGUCGCGUUGUUCGUGAAAUCUCACGGCUUAACUGUGAGCGUGCGGGCGAUACGGGCAGACUUGAGUACUGCAGGGGAGACUGGAAUUCCUGGUGUAGCGGUGGAAUGCGCAGAUAUCAGGAGGAACACCGGUGGCGAAGGCGGGUCUCUGGGCAGUAACUGACGCUGAGGAGCGAAAGCGUGGGGAGCGAACAGGAUUAGAUACCCUGAUAGUCCACGCCGUAGACGGUGGGUACUAGGUGUGGGUUUCCUUCCUUGGGAUCCGUGCCGUAGCUAACGCAUUAAGUACCCCGCCUGGGGAGUACGGCCGCAAGGCUAAAACUCAAAGAAAUUGACGGGGGCCCGCACAAGCGGCGGAGCAUGUGGAUUAAUUCGAUGCAACGCGAAGAACCUUACCUGGGUUUGACAUGCACAGGACGCCGGCAGAGAUGUCGGUUCCCUUGUGGCCUGUGUGCAGGUGGUGCAUGGCUGUCGUCAGCUCGUGUCGUGAGAUGUUGGGUUAAGUCCCGCAACGAGCGCAACCCUUGUCUCAUGUUGCCAGCGGGUAAUGCCGGGGACUCGUGAGAGACUGCCGGGGUCAACUCGGAGGAAGGUGGGGAUGACGUCAAGUCAUCAUGCCCCUUAUGUCCAGGGCUUCACACAUGCUACAAUGGCCGGUACAAAGGGCUGCGAUGCCGCGAGGUUAAGCGAAUCCUUUUAAAGCCGGUCUCAGUUCGGAUCGGGGUCUGCAACUCGACCCCGUGAAGUCGGAGUCGCUAGUAAUC